AUUGAACGCUGGCGGCAGGCCUAACACAUGCAAGUCGAGCGGAUGAGAGGAGCUUGCUUCUCGAUUCAGCGGCGGACGGGUGAGUAAUGCCUAGGAAUCUGCCUGGUAGUGGGGGACAACGUUUCGAAAGGAACGCUAAUACCGCAUACGUCCUACGGGAGAAAGCAGGGGAUCUUCGGGCCUUGCGCUAUCAGAUGAGCCUAGGUCGGAUUAGCUAGUUGGUGAGGUAAUGGCUCACCAAGGCGACGAUCCGUAACUGGUCUGAGAGGAUGAUCAGUCACACUGGAACGGAGACACGGUCCAGACUCCUACGGGAGGCAGCAGUGGGGAAUAUUGGACAAUGGGCGAAAGCCUGAUCCAGCCAUGCCGCGUGUGUGAAGAAGGUCUUCGGAUUGUAAAGCACUUUAAGCGAGGAGGAGGCUCUUUUGGUUAAUACCCAAGAUGAGUGGACGUUACUCGCAGAAUAAGCACCGGCUAACUCUGUGCCAGCCGCCGCCGUAA
rnacentral:rRNA from 1 species